CCUGGGGCUGGGAGGAGAGAGAUUCGGCACAGACGAGGAGGAACGGGAUCUGAAACAGCAUGGGAAAGGCUAGGGCCAUGAGUUGGGCAGCACGCAUGGAGAACAGCCAACCCAAGUUGUAGCAAGAAGCCCUAGAAGGCAUCUCCAGCUAAGAGCAGCUAAGAGCAGCAAAGAACAGCACGACUGCUCUCCGGUCUUCUGCAUUUGACUAUUUAAGAAAGGGAUUCGAGGGCUGGUUAGAUGGCUCAGUGGUUAAGAGCACUGACUGCUCUCCCAGAGGUCCUGAGUUCAAAUCCCAGCAACCACAUGGUGGCUCGCAACUAUCUGUAAUCCCUCUUCUGGUGUUUCUGAAAACAGCUACAGUGUACUUAUAUAUAUAAAAUAAAUAAAUAAAUCUUGGGGUUGGGGAUUUAGCUCAGUGGUAGAGCGCUUGCUUAGCAAGCGCAAGGCCCUGGGUUCGGUCCCCAGCUCUGAAAAAAAGAAAAAAAAAUAAAUAAAUCUUUAAAAAGGGGGGGGGGAAGAAAGGGAUUCGGGGUUUCUGAAAACAUGGCGAAUGUUCCUGAGACCUGCCGGACAUUCUGCAAGAAAUGUGGGAAGCCCCAACCCCACAAGGACGCAGUACAAGAAGGGCAAGGAUUCUUUGUCUGCCCAAGGAAAGCAGUGUUAUGACAGGAAACAGAGUGGCUAUGGCAGGCAGACGAAGCCCAUUUUCCGCAAAACAUCUAAAAAGUCUAAGAAGAUUGUGCUGAGACUGGAGUGCGUUGAGCCUAACUGCAGAUCUAAGAGGACGAUGGCUAUUGAGAGGUGCAAGCAUUUUGAACUGGGAGGUGGCAAGAAGAGAAAGGGCCAGGUGAUCCAGUUCUAAGCCAUUUUUGCUAUGAUGACAGCAAAAUCUUGACCUUUCACCCCUUUAAAAAAAAAGAAAAAGAAAAAGAAAGGAAUUCUGGCUGGAGAGAUGGCUGAGUGGUAAAGAGCACUGACUGCUCUUCCAGAGAUCCUGAGUUCAAAUUCCAGAAACCACAUGGUAGCUUACAACCAUCUGCAAUGAGAUCUGAUGCCCUCUUCUGGUGUGUCUGAAGACAGCUACAAUUACUUAUACAUAAUAAAUAAAUCUUUAAAAAAAAGAAAGGAGGGGCUGGGGAUUUAGCUCAGUGGUAGAGCGCUUACCUAGGAAGCGCAAGGCCCUGGGUUCGGUCCCCAGCUCCGAAAAAAAGAACAGAAAAAAAAAAAAAAGAAAGGAAUUCAAUAAUCCAGGCAGAUCAACAACUCUCAUAUAAAAAGCUAAACAAUGAAACACAGGGUGACACAAAAAAAUUCUACUGGAAAGAAACAAAUCGGCUGGGGGUGCCCUAAUUUCGUAGUUUGUUUAGCUCGUAUGAAGGGUUAGAUUCCCAGCAUGGCAUUAAAAAUCAGCGGUGGCAGUGAGUGCCAAUAUUCUUAGUCUCUGAGAGAUGGAAACAAGAGGAACAGUUCAAUGCCAUCCUCAGCUAUGAGAAUGGCCUGGGUUAAAUGACACCAUAGCUCAAAAAAGCGAACAAGUGAAAAAUCAGAAAGUGGUCCAUUUAAAAUGCUGCAUGUCAUCCACUCCCUUAAGAAAACUAAAUUUAUUUAGCCUCCUGGCUUCUGAGUUCCGUGGCUCUCGGGUGUCCCCUAGCGUUCUCUCUUAGUCACUGCGCCUGGCCGCGUCUCGGUGUCUGGGAGCCGGGGGAGCUUGAGCACUAAGCGGGUUCCCCUGCGGGUUCUGAGCCAUCCCUUGGGGAAGUGGGCUCGAACUCCCAGCGUCUGCUGAGGUCCGCUUGGCUGCGGCCUUCUGGAGUGCACCACGUGGUGGUGGGAGAGGAUUCGCUGCAUUAAUACCCGGGCUGUGUAAACAGAUUACAAACAGGGGCAUAGGGAACCUGCCAUCAGUGACAGCAGGAGUCUUGCCUCGACUUCCCAAAUGCUGGAGUUUAUAGGUGGCAAGCGACACCUCGCCCGUCUAAGUUAUUUACUGGCUCGAAGAGUCAGGGUCUGUCUGGAAACACUUCCAGCCCCCUGCCUCCGCCUGACACCUUUCUGAGCCUGGUUUUAGGGGAAUCUGCAAAGCGGUGUUACUCUGGCCGAGGGGUUGCCAGCUACAAAAGUAUUUUAGUGUAAGUCCGUGAUAUUGUCCGAACUUACACUAAAAUGCCGGGGUGAGGGCUAAGUCUUUUGUUUGUUUGGUUUUGUUUCUUUCCUUUCUUUCUUUUUUCUUUUCUUUAAGAUUUAUUUAUUUAUAUGUAAGUAUAUUGUAGCUGUCUUCACACACACCAGAAGAGAGCAUCAGAUCUCAUUACAGAUGGUUGUGAGCCACCAUGUGAUUGCUGGGAUUUGAACUCAGGACCUCUGGAAGAGCAGUCAGUGCGCUUAAUCACUGAGCUAUCUCUCCAGCCCCCUUUCUUCUUCUUCUUUUUUUUUUUUUUUAAAUAUUUUAUUUAUCUUUGGUUCUUUUUUUUUUUUUUUUCGGAGCUGGGGACCGAACCCAGGGCCUUGCGCUUCCUAGGUAAGCGCUCUACCACUGAGCUAAAUCCCCAGCCCCAUAUUUUAUUUAUCUUAUGUAUAUGAUGAGUACACUGUAGCUGUCUUCAGACACACCAGAAGAGGGCAUCAGCUCACACUGUAGAUGAUUGUGAGCCACCAUGUGGUCGCUGGGAACCGAACUCAGGACCUCUGGAAGAACAGCCAUUGCUCCUAACCACUGAGCCAUCUCUCCAGCCCUCUUCUUCUUCUUCUUUUUUUUUUCUUUUUUCUUUUUUUCUUUCUUUCUUCUCCUCCUCCUUUUUUUUUGAGAAAAGCGUUGGUCUGGUUCACUUCAUGCAUCACAACGAUUUAUAAUGACAUUUUUGAGCCUGGCGUGGUGGCGCGCGCCUGUAAUCUCAGUGUUCGGAAGGCUGAGGCGGGAGAGUUGCCCCGAGUUGAAAGAAAGCUAGAAGUGAAUUCCAGGCCAUGUCCAGAUGAAGCUGAAGAUCCCCUUCCCAGCCACCGGCUGUCCGAAACUGUAGAACAUGCUAAAAACUUUUGGCCAAGAAGAUGAAAAAAGCCAAAGGGUGGGGGUGGGACCUCCAGGAACAGAUCGCCAAGUGGUGCGGGCUGUUUUCGCUGAGAGCUUCUACUUCCGAGUCUGAGUCCAAUCAAAAAUAGCCUUUAAGAAUAACAAAUACAUAAUCAGACUUUGGGGGCCGCGGUGUGGGGUAUUAGCACAGGAUUCCGGUCCGCAGGAAGGAAGCUAAGGCCCUAGCAGCUGCUGGUGACUUGAUGCCGUGAAAUUCGGUGGUUCUUUGCUUUUGGUCUGGAUUUCCGUAUUCUAAGUUUGAUUCAGCCAUGGCAACGGCGUUAGUUCACUAAUUUUCUCGCUGCAAAUAUUCUGACCUGGAAUAUUUGAAAGCUUCCUUGCUGCGGAGUCAGGCCCUGGCCGGCAACUGGCAUGUUCCCUGGAAAAGCCUUGUUCUCUGUGCGCCGCCUUGGAGUCCACAGAUCUAGGGAUGAAGCAGACAGAGCCCUGCUAGUGAUGGCUGGACCCUCUGCCACCAAGCUGGAGCCCAGCCCUUCGAACUGUGGUUUUGGCAUGACUUCUCUGUGUCAGUGGACAUGGGAAAGGACUGGCAGAUGGUGACAGGACUGACCCUUUUGAUAAGAGAAGAAAGAAAGCAGAUGACUCUCUGGUGUAGCCUUGACUGUCCAGUAAGUGGGAUCCGUUGGGUGAAGUGCUGAGACAGAGGAAGGAAUUGCAGACUGCUGCCUGCAACACAUACAUCUGUAGAGAUUCAGAAUAAACCACCCGAAGUGGGCGGCCACCGGGACACACACCUUUAAUUCCAGCACUCUGGAGGCAGAGGCAGGCGGUAAGGCCAACCUGGUCUACACUGCUAGUUCCAGGACAGCCAAAGCUACACAGAGAAACCCUGUCUCAAAAACAGAAUGUAAUAAAACAAAAGUAAACAAAUAAAUAAAAUUUAAAUUAUUUAGAAGCUA